GAUCCUGGCUCAGAAUCAACGCUGGCGGCGUGCCUCAGACAUGCAAGUCGUACGUGAAAGUCCUUCGGGAUGAGUAAAGUGGCGCACGGGUGAGUAACACGCGAGUUAUCUGCCUUUGGGUGGGGAAUACCAACCGGAAACGGUUGUUAAUACCGCAUAACGCUUGCGCUGUAAUGGCGUAUGUUAAAGCGGGGGAUCAGCAAUGACCUCGCGCCCGAAGAGGAGCUCGCGGCAGAUUAGGUAGUUGGUGAGGUAAUGGCUCACCAAGCCUGCGAUCUGUAACCGGCCUGAGAGGGCGGUCGGUCGCACUGACACUGACAUACGGGUCAGACUCCUACGGGAGGCAGCAGUCGGGAAUUUUGGGCAAUGGGCGAAAGCCUGACCCAGCAACGCCGCGUGAAGGAUGAAGCAUUUCGGUGUGUAAACUUCGCAAGAAUAGGAAGAAUAAGUUUGAACAAAUAAUUCAAACGAUGACGGUACUAUUUAUAAGCUCCGGCUAACUUCGUGCCAGCAGCCGCGGUAAUACGAGGGGAGCAAGCGUUGUUCGGAUUUACUGGGCGUAAAGGGUGCGUAGGCGGCACCACAAGUCACUUGUGAAAUCUUUGGGCUUAACCCAAAGCGGCCAAGUGAUACUGUGGAGCUAGAGUGCAGAAGGGGCAACUGGAAUUCCCGGUGUAGCGGUGAAAUGCG
rnacentral:rRNA from 1 species